rnacentral:lncRNA from 1 species
GUGUGAGUGAUCAUGUGGAGGGGACAUGUGGGGUGGUGGGGAGUUAUGUUGAUGAGAGAAAAAAAUCUAGAAUAUAUCAGUUAUAUUAAAGAUGUGGUAUUUUUAAUUAAUCAAAUUUUUCUUCUUAAAUUUACAUAUCCCAUCAUAGUUAUUAAAAUAUAUAUAUAUUAUACUUUGCUUUCAAAAGAAGAGAUAUGACUGACUGGGAAUAAAUGAUAUGGUAUAAGUGUUAUAAUGUAGGGUCUCUCAAAAAAAGUUGAGAAUACACUAAUUAUAUUGCUGGUGUGGAGCUGGAACAUCAUAGCAUGUUAUGUUAUGCUAUGUAUUUAUUACCAUACUCAAUCUUUGAACCUAGUCUAGGUGGGUGGUUUGGGAAUAA